GACGAACGCUGGCGGCGUGCUUAACACAUGCAAGUCGAACGGAAAGGCCCUGCUUUUGUGGGGUGCUCGAGUGGCGAACGGGUGAGUAACACGUGAGUAACCUGCCCUUGACUUUGGGAUAACUUCAGGAAACUGGGGCUAAUACCGGAUAGGAGCUCCUGCUGCAUGGUGGGGGUUGGAAAGUUUCGGCGGUUGGGGAUGGACUCGCGGCUUAUCAGCUUGUUGGUGGGGUAGUGGCUUACCAAGGCUUUGACGGGUAGCCGGCCGGAGAGGGUGACCGGCCACAUUGGUACUGCGGUACGGCCCAGACUCCUACGGGAGGCAGCAGUGGGGAAUAUUGCACAAUGGGCGGAAGCCUGAUGCAGCAACGCCGCGUGCGUGAUGACGGCCUUCGGGUUGUAAACCGCUUUCGCCUGUGACGAAGCGUUAGUGACGGUAAUGGGUAAAGAAGCACCGGCUAACUACGUG
rnacentral:rRNA from 1 species